rnacentral:rRNA from 1 species
UGGGGAAUAUUGCACAAUGGGGGAAACCCUGAUGCAGCGACGCCGCGUGAGCGAAGAAGUAUUUCGGUAUGUAAAGCUCUAUCAGCAGGGAAGAAAAUGACGGUACCUGACUAAGAAGCCCGGCUAACUACGUGCC